rnacentral:rRNA from 1 species
CAGUAGCCACGGUAAUACGGAGGGUGCAAGCGUUACUCGGAAUUACUGGGCGUAAAGCGUGCGUAGGUGGUGGUUUAAGUCCGUUGUGAAAGCCCUGGGCUCAACCUGGGAAUUGCAGUGGAUACUGGGUCACUAGAGUGUGGUAGAGGAUAGUGGAAUUUCCGGUGUAGCAGUGAAAUGCGUAGAGAUCGGAAGGAACAUCUGUGGCGAAGGCGACUAUCUGGGCCAACACUGACACUGAGGCACGAAAGCGUGGGGAGCAAACAGGAUUAGAUACCCCUGUAGUCCCUGUCUCUUAUAC